AGGCAGCAGUGGGGAAUAUUGGACAAUGGGCGCAAGCCUGAUCCNNCCAUACCGCGUGGGUGAAGAAGGCCUUCGGGUUGUAAAGCCCCUUCUUGUUGGGAAAGAAAUCCAGCUGGNUAAUACCCGNNUGGGANGACGGUACCCAAAGAAUAAGCACCGGCUAACUUCGUGCCAGCAGCCGCGGUAAUACGAAGGGUGCAAGCGUUACUCGGAAUUACUGGGCGUAAAGCGUGCGUAGGUGGUUAUUUAAGUCCGUUGUGAAAGCCCUGGGCUCAACCUGGGAACUGCAGUGGAUACUGGAUGACUAGAAUGUGGUAGAGGGUAGCGGAAUUCCUGGUGUAGCAGUGAAAUGCGUAGAGAUCAGGAGGAACAUCCAUGGCGAAGGCAGCUACCUGGACCAACAUUGACACUGAGGCACGAAAGCGUGGGGAGCAAACAGGAUUAGAUACCCUGGUAGUCCACGCCCUAAACGAUGCGAACUGGAUGUUGGGUGCAAUUUGGCACGCAGUAUCGAAGCUAACGCGUUAAGUUCGCCGCCUGGGGAGUACGGUCGCAAGACUGAAACUCAAAGGAAUUGACGGGGGCCCGCACAAGCGGUGGAGUAUGUGGUUUAAUUCGAUGCAACGCGAAGAACCUUACCUGGCCUUGACAUGUCGAGAACUUUCCAGAGAUGGAUGGGUGCCUUCGGGAACUCGAACACAGGUGCUGCAUG
rnacentral:rRNA from 1 species